CUCAUCCUGGCUGACCUGAAAUCCGCGUGCUUCCUUCCGACGUGUUCAGAAGACCCAGAGGGGAAAGACCCGAAGGUCGGAGAAAACGGAGGUGGCGCGGCUCCAGGCUCGGACGAGGCAGCGGGUGAAGAGGGGGCAUGAGUUCUGAGGAUGACUUGGGUUAGAUCUCUUGCGAGAGAUUUUUUUUAUGUUUUUAUGUUUCGGCCUUGAAUGGCCUUGUUUGUAUUUCGGGACUGGCCGUGUGUGACUUUGAAUCCCUGCCGCUCCGCGGCUUUCUUUUUAUGGUAUGAUAAUCGGAUAGCACUUAUUAUGAGUUUGUGAAUAGUGGGGAGGAAGGUGAUGAGUUGUCGUCUCAUAUCCUUCUUUGAUUGUGAAAUGUUUCAUUCGAGAUCUGUU
rnacentral:lncRNA from 1 species